UAAAAUAAAACAGUGUUUCAUUGUUUUUAGGUAACUGAAGAGAGAAUGCUGACAUGAGUAACGUAAAAAGAAGUUAUAAUACUUCUCGCCGAAUACGAAAGGGUUGUAAGGAAAGGUUGAACCGCCUUAUGUAAUUGCGGCCUCUAAGGACCAAAACCAAUGUUUUGGCUGAUGAGUACUUAACCUAAAGUCCAUAUUAUAUGGACCAGGAAAAUAAAGUUAACUUAAUUAAAUUAAAUAAUUUUAUUUUAUUUAUUACCGGCUAGCCGCUAAAUUAAAUAUUUAAUUAUUUAUUUUUAAUUAAGACUACCGUACCCUAGACCGACACAGGUUCGUAAGUAGAGAAUACUAAGGCGUAGAGCUAAAAGUUGUUAAGGAACUCGGCAAGUUCUCCUCAUAAGUUUGACGAUAAGAGGAACCAGAGAUAUAUAAUUUAAUUAUAUUAUUUUCUGGUGGCACAGAAUCGGAGGCCCCGACUGUUUACUAAAAACACAAUUCAGAGCAAUGAUUAAUAUCAUAGUAUUCUGGAUGAAAUUUGCUCAAUGCCAUUAAUACAAGAGAGGUGAUGGGAUAACUGUUACUAAUCGAAAUUCUGGUGAAUAGCGGUCUUAACUAUGAGGAUCCUAAGGUAGCAAAAUCAGUUGGCCAUUAAAUGUGGUCCGGUAUCAGUAGUGUAACGAUGGUCUCACUGUCUCUACAACUUGCUCAGUGAAAUUGAAUUACCCGUGCAGAUGCGGGUUGCCUCCAGGUGGACGGGAAGACCCUAUGCAGCUUUACUGUAGUUAGUUAUCAUGUUAAUCUAGAACAACCUUGGUCAAAGUGAUUAGGGAAGUCGAUAGACGCAAAGUGGAAUACCUCGAGACUAGGGUUGGGUUAAUAUUUACCUUAUACUUUAUAAGUAGAGGGAUAGGUGACUAAUUGGCAGUUUGACUGGGGCGGUCGUUUUUAAAAUAGUAUCAAAAUGCAUCCAAUGAUUUAAUUAGCCGGAAGGCUUCUAAUGUUAAUCUUUCGCCGCGGGGCGCUAAAAUUAAUAUACAGACAUAAAUAAUCAAAAUAAAAAAUA
rnacentral:ncRNA from 1 species